UUUGCAACAUGGAUGAACCUCGAUGUCAUUAUGCUAAGUGAAACAAGCCAGACACAGCAAGAAAAAUACUGCAUGAUCUCUUAUGUGGAUUCUAAAAAAGUCAAAUACAUAGAAGCAGAGUAGAACAGUGGUUACCAGGGGUGGAGACGUAUGGAAAUGGUUAAGAUGUUGGUCAAAGGAUACAAAGUUGCAGUUCUAUAGGAUGAAUAAGUCUAGAGAUGUAAUGCAUAGCAUAACUAUAGUUAAUACUGCAUUGUGCAUUGGAAACUUGCGGAGAGUACAUUUCAUGCGCUCUCACCACUUACACAAAAUAGUAACUGUGAAGAGAUGUAUUAUGUUAAUUAGCUUGACUGUAGAAAUCAUUUCACUGUGUACAUGUAUCAAAACAUCAUGUUGUACACCUUAAAUAUAUAGUUUUUAUUUUUAAAACACUGUUUGGGAUUAAAAGCCCAGCUAAUUCUGCCUUAAUAUCUCAUUCUUAUCCACAAUGUCCACCCAUAAGAAAGACGCCCGAUACUCCGUGUAAACACACACUCCCCAUCUCCCAUACAAAUUUACCUUCUAGAGAGAGCCCUUUUCCCCAAACUCUCCUCUCAAAACACUCUGAAGCACAAGGUCUUUAGCCUAGUUAGACAUUUUCUGAAAAACUUAGUUUAACUCAGCGUAGAGACACCAUGAAUUUCAGAGACCCAGUCCUGGGCCUGCUUCAGUUGCUUUAGCCUAGAGUUUCAACUCCCAGGUCCCGGGGAGGGAUGCUCCAAGGAAGAAAUAGAGGCCCUAUUCCAGGGCUGUUUCUCGCAGACUAGCCACAGAAAAUGCAGCCCAGCGCCACUUCCUUUCAGUAGCAACACGUUUCCAACACGUUUGUUAAGCGGGAACGGAAGUGAGCGGAAAGGAAUGCGUUUGGUAAAUCCCACUUUAAGGAUUUCGUAAUCCUCCCAGGGAUUCCCACCACCCGCACUCCACUCGCAGACUGCGGGCCUUCCUCCGACGCUGGGAGAAGGACCCUGGGAGAGGCAAGGGAAGGGCUCCGGAACCAGCGCAGCAGCGGGACGCUAGCCCGCCCACACGGCGGCCACUUGAAGGUCCUCCAGGGAACACCUGAGGCAGUGGGAGCGUCUGCCCUUUCCUAAGUCUCCUUGGAAAGAAGUAUUCGCUUUCGUUUCCGCAAACAAAGCAUGCUCCGCGCUUUCAGGACCGGUGGCUCCCGUGGAGACCGCAGCGGAACCCAGUCCGCCUUCGCACGCGUCCGGGGGAGAAGCGGCCCCAGGACUAAGGGCGCGCGCCCGAGGAACCGGUGCUGUGACGACCAGAGCAAACACGCCGGAUGUUCCUGUGUAGGCUGUCCUUUUUAGAACCAAGCAACGCCAAUUACCAACAAAAUCCGUUGCGCCGCAGUGAGUUAGCUACCUUCUAUCUCCACUUUGUUCUGCACGUCGAUCUCAGGAGAAGCCAGCUCCCAUGUUAAGAAGUUCAAAUACCUAGAGACUGCGAUGGUUUGCAGAGGCUCAAGCUAACCACAUGGAAAGACAUGGAGAGAUAUUCCUUGCCAACCCUCAACUACUCCAACUAUUCUAAGACAUCAAACCUGUCACCCACCGGUCUGAAGAGGAGGAUGAGAGACAAAGAAAAAAGUUGUCUGGCUGCCUCUGCUGUCUACAGAUUGAAGAAGAUCCAUCCAGCUGAGCCCAGCCUAGACCAGCUGACUUCUCCAAUAAGCCUGUAUGAAAUAAAUGCUUAUUGUUAUGUGACCUUGAGCUUUGAAGAUAGUUUGUUAUGCAAUAAUUGUUGAUUCUUUCACCCUGUCUUUGUUGAACUGUUAUAGACGUCUUAAUAGGAGUUCACAAUUCAG
rnacentral:lncRNA from 1 species